CCUGGGUGGCUCAGUCGGUUGAGCGUCCGACUUCAGCUCAGCUCAGGUCAUGAUCUCUCAGUCUGUGAGUUCGAGCCCCGCGUCGGGCUCUGUGCUGACAGCUCAGAGCCUGGAGCCUGUUUCAGAUUCUGUGUCUCCCUCUCUCUGACCCUCCCCCGUUCACGCUCUGUCUCUCUCUGUCUCAAAAAUAAAUAAACGUUAAAAAAAAAUAAAAUUGUA